CCUACGGGUGGCAGCAGUGGGGAAUAUUGCACAAUGGGGGAAACCCUGAUGCAGCAACGCCGCGUGGGUGAAGGAGCGUUUCGGCGCGUAAAGCCCUGUCAGCGGGGAAGAAGAAAGACGGUACCCGACCAAGAAGCCCCGGCUCACUACGUCCCAGCAGCCGCGGGAAUACGAAGGGGGCGCGCGUUAUCCGGAAUUACUGGGUGGAAAGGGAGUGUAGACGGCGAGGUAAGCCUGAGGUGGAAGCCCGCGGCCCAACCGCAGGACGGCUUUGGGAACUGUUUUGCCAGAGUAUGAGAGGGGUAAGCGGAAUUCCGGGUGUAGCGGUGAAAUGCGUAGAUAUCAGGAGGAACACCAGGGGCGAAGGCGGCUUACUGGACCAUAACUGACGUUGAGGCUCGAAAGCGUGGGGAGCGAACAGGAUUAGAUACCCUUGUAGUC
rnacentral:rRNA from 1 species